CCUGUUGGUGACGACGAGGUUGUUGCUCAUAUUCUCAAUGGCCUAGACUUUGAUUAUCAUCUGUUCGUGUCCUCUAUGCUUGGCUGUGGUGAUUCAAUUUCGCUCUCAAAUCUUUACUCUCAAUUGAUGGAGUAUGAUC
rnacentral:snoRNA from 1 species